AAAAAAGAUGCUAAAAUCGACCCCAAAGAAAACAUGCAACUCCCAGUUGGAAGAAUCGUUUCCGGAAACGAAACCGCUGGAAAAUUUGUUUCCAAGGACGUUCCAUUCUCUCCGAUGUCGGCAAAGAAAAGACUGAUUGGAUGACGACCGCCAAGGCAAGGUUCCCGGUUUAAGAUCUCUCACCGACGGAAUAGCAACGAAUCACAAGCGCAAAGUUAACGAUUAUCAAAGCCUACUAGAAGCUGAAGUUUUUGAAACCUUCAUCACCGGAAGCCGUAGUAAUUGUUCUAUUAUUUCAAUAAAAUAAAUUGUUCGCUCUACA